rnacentral:lncRNA from 1 species
UUGGCUUUCGCAUUGUCCAGAUUAUUAUUCGAUGAGUCAUUAAUUUUUCCUAGCUAUAUGUUUUCUCAAAUUCUCCCGUCGGCUUCCGCAUCGUCUAGAUUAGGUUGUUUAAAAAUUUGCGCUUCAGAAUCGACAUGUAUCCUUUCAGACUACAGUCGAUACCUGAGAACCACUUACUUUUGUAACGAAGUUGGAAUGCAUGCACUCAGAUUAUAAAAUAAUUUUAAUUAAAAUUCUCGUAAUUGAUAGUAACAUAUCAUAUGAUAGGCCAU